rnacentral:rRNA from 1 species
GACGAACGCUGGCGGCGUGCUUAACACAUGCAAGUCGAACGGAAAGGCCCUGCUUUUGCGGGGUGCUCGAGUGGCGAACGGGUGAGUAACACGUGAGUAACAUGCCCUUGACUUUGGGAUAACUUCAGGAAACUGGGGCUAAUACCGGAUAGGAGCUCCUGCUGCACGGUGGGGGUUGGAAAGUUUCGGCGGUUGGGGAUGGAAUCGCAGCUUAUCGGCUUGAUGGUGGGGUAGGGGUUUACCAAGGCUUUGACGGGUAGCCGGCGUGGGAGGGUGGCCAGCCUCAUUGCGACUGAGGGACGCAGCAGACUGCUAUGGGAGGCAGCAGUGGGAAGUAUGGCGCAAUGGGCGGAAGUCUGUGGCGGAGACGCCGGGUGCGUGAUACCCUCCUUUGGGUUAAAAACCGAUUUGGCCUGUGCCGUGGCGGGAUUGACGGUAAUGGGUAAAGAAGCACCGGCUAACUACGUG